rnacentral:rRNA from 1 species
UACGGAGGAUGCAAGCGUUAUCCGGAAUGAUUGGGCGUAAAGCGUCCGCAGGUGGCUGUGUAAGUCUGCUGUUAAAGAGUGAGGCUCAACCUCAUAAAAGCAGUGGAAACUACACGGCUAGAGUGCGUUCGGGGCAGAGGGAAUUCCUGGUGUAGCGGUGAAAUGCGUAGAUAUCAGGAAGAACACCGGUGGCGAAAGCGGCUCUCUGGGACGGUACUGACGCUGAGACGCGAAAGCGUGGGGAGCGAACAGG